AGGGUCAAGAGCUUCAGCAGAAGUUCUGGCAGGUGAAGAGGUCCAGCCAUGCUGGGGAGGCACUGGGACCUCCAAGGCUGAAAUGAAAACGGGAAAAUCCCCUAGAUGCCAUCAGAGGGACAAGCUGCACCCAGGCCAGGAACCAGAACCGAGCCAGGGCAGGCACAGAGGCACUCUGCUCCACCUGUCUCCAUCUCUCCCCACUCCCACCCAUCUCCUGGGUGGGGUGCUGGACAGGAAUCCAGCUGCAAGGGAACCGGGGGACCAGGCCCAGAAGUCAGCAGCGCCGGUUGGAAGGAGGGGACAGAGGAACAACAGGUGGGCAAGGGAGGAUAAUAGGCCCCAGGGGGCAGGAUAAUCCUCCCAUCCCUCUCUUUGUUGCUGCGUUCCUGUUUUUCUGGUUCUGGGGAGUGAACCCAGGGCCCCCUGCGCGCAGACCAGUGCUCCACCACCCAGCUACGUCCCCAGACUUUCAAAUCUCAUUUUGAGACCGGGCCUCCCUCCCCAGCCACCUUUGAACCGCCAUCCUCCUGCCUCCCCCAAACAAGUGGCUGUGGCUGGGGUUCCAGGGCAGUGCCGCCAUCCCAGGCCCCAAUCCAUUUUGCAGAUGGGCAGAUGGCGGUGCGGAGACCUGCGGGGACUUGCCUGCCGUCAGGGAACUGGGAGAUGGGGUUGGAGGGGAGGCUCGCAGGCCUCCGCGGCCAGGCUUCCCGCACAGCCCACCCCUGUCCCUGGGUGGCAGGUCGGGCAUGGCCCGGAGUCCUGUCCCCAAGGCCGCCCUCACCCCUGGCAAGACUGAAGGCCUCGCCCCUUUUUCCUAGUCCCCCCUUUGGACCUCUC
rnacentral:lncRNA from 1 species